GCAAGUCGAGCGCCCUGUUUCGGCAGGGAGCGGCGGACGGGUGAGUAACGCGUGGGAACGUGCCCUUUAGUUCAGAAUAGCCACUGGAAACGGUGAGUAAUACUGGAUACGCCCUUCGGGGGAAAGAUUUAUCGCUAAAGGAUCGGCCCGCGUUGGAUUAGCUAGUUGGUGGGGUAAAGGCCUACCAAGGCGACGAUCUAUAGCUGGUCUGAGAGGAUGAUCAGCCACACUGGGACUGAGACACGGCCCAGACUCCUACGGGAGGCAGCAGUGGGGAAUAUUGGACAAUGGGGGCAACCCUGAUCCAGCCAUGCCGCGUGAGUGAAGAAGGCCCUAGGGUUGUAAAGCUCUUUCAGAUGUGAGGAUGAUGACAGUAGCAUCAGAAGAAGCACCGGCUAACUUCGUGCCAGCAGCCGCGGUAAUACGAAGGGUGCUAGCGUUGUUCGGAAUUACUGGGCGUAAAGGGCGUGUAGGCGGAUGAUCAAGCUAGGGGUGAAAGCCCAGGGCCCAACCCUGGAACUGCCUUUANAACUGAUUGUCU
rnacentral:rRNA from 1 species